GAGAGGCGAGCGCUCUCACCGCUACGCCACCCAUGCAUCCCUGAAAGCGAAAUAAGAACAGAGCAUUCACUAGGAGUUACUCAUUUGUUUGGUUUCUCUUAAGACUGACAAACUCAAGGAAGAAAUCACCAAAGUACGUGAAGUCUUGGCCAACAAAGACAACGAGACUGCAGAGACCAUCACACAGGCUUACCGUGAACUACAAAAGAAAUCUCUUAAACUCUUCGAGAUGGCUUACAAAAAGAUGGCAUCAGAGAGAGAAUCCACGGCUCCACCGACACCAGCUCAGAAUCAACCGAAUCAACCGACGGUAAAAAGAAGGACGAAAGUUAAAAUAAAACAUCAAGCAUAGAAAGACUUUCAAAAUCCACUUCGAUGUUAUUAUAAAGAGCUUGCCCUGGUUCUGGAUAAGAACGUUUUCUAAAGAUUCUAACGAGCCAAUGUAAACUCAAUGUAGCCUGUAUUAGUGUAAUAAUGUUAUGGGGAUAUUAGUACUAUAUUGGUUCGGCAGUAAGGGUUAAUUUAUCCUUCAUAAUGUUAUUUUUACUCUGGUUACUUUUUCCACUUCACGACGAAGGAAUUCGUGGGUUGAGGUUUACAUUUGCAGUGCAACCACAAGCUGAAGUAUCUAGAAAUAAAAUGAUUAUCCAUGCUUUUUGUGCUUGGUGCAUAUACACCAGUUUCGCAUUCGACUGCAUACCGCUGUUUUUGAAGACCACAGACUCUUGCACAGAUUUAGCCUCGUUUAUAACUCACCUAUUCACAGAUAGAAUUAAAAAUCUGUUAGAUUUCAAAA